CCUACGGGUGACAGCAGUGAGGAAUAUUGGUCAAUGGACGAGAGUCUGAACCAGCCAAGCAGCGUGAAGGAUGACUGCCCUAUGGGUUGUAAACUUCUUUUAUAUGGGAAUAAAAUGUUCCCCGUGUGGGAUUUUGUAUGUACCAUAUGAAUAAGGAUCGGCUAACUCCGUGCCAGCAGCCGCGGUAAUACGGAGGAUCCGAGCGUUAUCCGGAUUUAUUGGGUUUAAAGGGAGCGUAGGUGGAGUGUUAAGUCAGUUGUGAAAGUUUGCGGCUCAACCGUAACAUUGCAGUUGAAACUGGCAGUCUUGAGUACAGGAGAGGUGGGCGGAAUUCGUGGUGUAGCGGUGAAAUGCUUAGAUAUCACGAAGAACUCCGAUUGCGAAGGCAGUUCACUGGACUGCAACUGACACUGAGGCUCGAAAGUGUGGGUAUCAAACAGGAUUAGAUACCCGGGUAGUC
rnacentral:rRNA from 1 species